UCCCUGGUGGUCCAGUGGCUAAGACUCCACGCUCCCAAUGCAGGAGGCCCAGGUUCGAUCCCUGGUCAGGGAA
rnacentral:tRNA from 1 species